rnacentral:lncRNA from 1 species
AAACAGCGUAAGCCUCAGGAGCUAACAGACCAGCUGCAGAAAAACAUCAGAAGGAAGGUCUCACAACGCAGAUGAUGCUUCCACGGACCGUGAAGGACUCAGAGUUUCUUCUCAAAUGUACACUGAUAAAUACUCAACUGAAGAUUCAACUGAAAUCCUCUAUGGGUCUCCAGACUCCCCCAUUCUGGAACUCUUCCCUGCAAAUUCCAGCUGCCUAAACUCCCUUCCAUCUCUCAGUUUCUCUAUAACUGAGGAACACCGUCAGGCUCCAGCUGGAUUUUCCUUCCUUGUGCACUGAUCUGGAAAGUCUUUCACAUCAGUAAGUGAGGGAAAUCAUAGAGUUCUCCUGGAUAGAAGAGGCCCUGGUUAGCAGCUUCAGAUGAUGGAUACAUAAAAAUGGGAGAGAGAAAACAUAUAAGAGUGACUAAUUGUUGAGUUUCCAGGGCUCAAACCAAUCUUGAAUUGGAAUUUCAAGACAUAAAAACCACUGCAGGAACCUGCUGGAGAAACGGCCUCUGGUAUCUCUAUCUGAAAUAUGAUUAUCUUAAGUUCGCAAAGCAUUGUGUCUGCAGUGUGAGUUUGAAAACAACAAUGUUAAGGCAACUUCGCAGCUUCUUAAUCAAGCCCUUCUCCAUCUCUCCGUGUGGUUUUUGGGGUGGUGGAGGUGGAGCCAAAAAAGAGAGGGCAGUUUCCCAGGGCUGAAGAUGCUACCAUGACUCAUAGGAUCUAUGCAAACCCUGUGAGUGAAUUCUGAGGAAGAAGAAUGAGUAAUAUUUUGAUUUUAUUACUGAUGGUAAUAAGAUAGUAUCAUCAGUGUGGUAUAUUCUGAUUACUGAAUUCUAUUCCCUAUUUUCUUCCUGUGGCCAAAUAAAAUUUGUGUGUGUAAGCUAUGAUAUUUAGUGUUGUUAUCUGAUGAGACAGGUUUAGUGGAAAAGUUCAUUUUAAAUAAACAUUAAAAUUGUUUCAGCCUCAGAUUUUUAAUCCAAAUCAUUCCUUUGACACCAGAAGAAUUUUCCUCAGAGUCAACUCCAAAGAUAAAGCUGCCUGUUUUCCUAUUUGCCCAGAAGUAAAGAGGUUGCAAAA